AGUGAGGAGGUGGUAUGUUAAUAGCAUAUUCAUUUGACGUUAGCUGCAGAAGAAGCACCGGCUAACUCCGUGCCAGCAGCCGCGGUAAUACGGAGGGUGCGAGCGUUAAUCGGGAAUUACUGGGCGUAAAGCGCAUGCAGGUGGUUUGUUAAGUCAGAUGUGAAAGCCCCGGGGCUCAAACCUCGGAAUUGCAUUUGAAACUGGCAAACUAGAGUACUGUAGAGGGGGUAGAAUUUCAGGUGUAGCGGUGAAAUGCGUAGAGAUCUGAAGGAAUACCGGUGGCGAAGGCGGCCCCCUGGACAGAUACUGACACUCAGAUGCGAAAGCGUGGGGAGCAAACAGGAUUAGAUACCCUGGUAG
rnacentral:rRNA from 1 species